UUGCAUUGUUGGUGAUAACCAUUGAC
rnacentral:piRNA from 1 species